rnacentral:rRNA from 1 species
GAUUGUGGCGACGGGUGAGUACACGUGGGCAAUCUGCCCUUCACUCUGGGACAAGCCCUGGAAACGGGGUCUAAUACCGGAUACCACUCCUGCCCGCAUGGGUGGGGGUUGAAAGCUCCGGCGGUGAAGGAUGAGCCCGCGGCCUAUCAGCUUGUUGGUGGGGUAAUGGCCCACCAAGGCGACGACGGGUAGCCGGCCUGAGAGGGCGACCGGCCACACUGGGACUGAGACACGGCCCAGACUCCUACGGGAGGCAGCAGUGGGGAAUAUUGCACAAUGGGCGAAAGCCUGAUGCAGCGACGCCGCGUGAGGGAUGACGGCCUUCGGGUUGUAAACCUCUUUCAGCAGGGAAGAAGCGAAAGUGACGGUACCUGCAGAAGAAGCGCCGGCUAACUACGUGCCAGCAGCCGGGGAUAAUACG